GCCGGGCGUGGUGCCUCACACCUGUAAUCCCAGCACUUUGGGAGGCUGAGGCGGGUGGAUCACCUGAGGUCAGGAGUUCAAGACCAGCCUGGCCAACAUGGUGAAACCCCGUCUCUA
ensembl:misc_RNA Metazoa_SRP Metazoan signal recognition particle RNA